rnacentral:rRNA from 1 species
GACGAACGCUGGCGGCGUGCUUAACACAUGCAAGUCGAACGGAAAGGCCCUGCUUUUGUGGGGUGCUCGAGUGGCGAACGGGUAAGUAACACGUGAGUAACCUGCCCUUGACUUUGGGAUAACUUCAGGAAACUGGGGCUAAUACCGGAUAGGAGCUCCUGCUGCAUGGUGGGGGUUGGAAAGUUUCGGCGGUUGGGGAUGGACUCGCGGCUUAUCAGCUUGUUGGAGGGGUAGUGGCUUACCAAGGCUUUGACGGGUAGCCGGCCUGAGAGGGUGACCGGCCACAUUGGGACUGAGAUACGGCCCAGACUCCUACGGGAGGCAGCAGUGGGGAAUAUUGCACAAUGGGCGGAAGCCUGAUGCAGCAACGCCGCGUGCGGGAUGACGGCCUUCGGGUUGUAAACCGCUUUCGCCUGUGACGAAGCGUGAGUGACGGUAAUGGGUAAAGAAGCACCGGCUAACUACGUG